rnacentral:rRNA from 1 species
AACGAACGCUGGCGGCAUGCCUAACACAUGCAAGUCGAACGAGACCUUCGGGUCUAGUGGCGCACGGGUGCGUAACGCGUGGGAACCUGCCCUUAGGUUCGGAAUAACUCCCCGAAAGGGGUGCUAAUACCGGAUAAUGUCUUCGGACCAAAGAUUUAUCGCCUUUGGAUGGGCCCGCGUUGGAUUAGCUAGUUGGUAGGGUAAAAGCCUACCAAGGCGACGAUCCAUAGCUGGGCUGAGAGGAUGAUCAGCCACACUGGGACUGAGACACGGCCCAGACUCCUACGGGAGGCAGCAGUGGGGAAUAUUGGACAAUGGGCGAAAGCCUGAUCCAGCAAUGCCGCGUGAGUGAUGAAGGCCUUAGGGUUGUAAAGCUCUUUUACCCGGGAUGAUAAUGACAGUACCGGGAGAAUAAGCACCGGCUAACUCCGUG